ensembl:lncRNA
GGUAAACAAGGGCUGCAAUGGGGCAGCGCGCCGUCCUUUCAUCAGCCGGCGAACAGCAGGAGCUUUGAUUUCCUUCCCAGCCCCCUAAGCAGCCACUAAAUAAUCAACAAUUCCUCAACCUUCCUCUGAUUUACACGAGACGGAUGAGACAGGAAUAUCUCCAAGAGCUUUAUCACUCCUCUCUGUCAGCGGCUGCCGCUAAGUCAACAGUGCGAUGGUGUGUAUCUGGACGGCGGAGCACUGAGGUUGCUCGCAUCGUUCUGUGCUCCCGCUGAAACCAAUAAGCCAUCCUCCACUGCCCCCGCCUGCUCCCCAGCCAUGCCCCGUGGUUACGUCAAAUUAAAUCUCACCCCCAGACUCACCAGUGGACUUCCAGCACUGCAGCUCAUCCCCCGCCCCAAGGAUGGGAGGCGGUGGGGGCCGGCGUGAGGCGCACAGCUCAGCAUCAUCUACCCAAGGGGCACAGCACCCCACCCAGAGCAAGAACCGCUCUCUUGGCAUGGGCUGUUCUGGGACAGGCACUGCUCGGGCUCUGCAUCCUGCAGCACUGAAGCAUCCCACCGUCCACUCUGCUAUGCACAGCGCCUCCCCGGUUUUGCUUAAGAACCCCUUCUCCGCAAUGGUACCCAGAGAUGUGUGCAGCGAGGGCUGCUCCAUCAUCCCUGUGCGGUGCUGCACACCUGUUGCAUUCUGGCCAUGGCCACGUGUUGCACCUCCUGUUUCACUUAUCGCCUUACUACUGCUCCUUUUUCCCCCUCACCCACACCUGCAGAGCUCCACGAGUUGUGCUGGAGCCCAUUUGUAGCCUGAGCAUUGCGUGCUGCUGCAAUGCAGGGCCCUGAGUGUCCCCAAGUCGAGGGGCAGCCACUAGCCAUGUCCCAGCACCCCGGGGUGACAAUGGCCCCAGCAGUGCCCGUCCACGUUUCCCAGCCUGGGAGAAGAACCGCUGUGCCAAAGAACCUCCUGGGGAGGCCGGAGGGACCUGGCACAUCCCUGUGAAGCAGAACAGCAUGAACAAAGUGAGCGCUGUGAUCUGGGCUGGUAGAGGAGGGGACGGGAUGGGAGAAGACCUGGAAAGUAGCAGGAGAGCACCAGGGCAGGGAAGAGGUAAGACACUUAUUCCAGUCUUGACCGAGAAAUUCAGAGCCCAUUCCCUGACAGCAGAGAUAUGUAAACAGAUACAGACGACUCCUUCCUGGGAAGGAGCCCCCCAUUUCCAGGGGCUGCACAGUGGAGCCCAUCUGGAAGCAGCCCACGGCAGAGCUGUACGGUGCUGCCGUCCCGCCGGUGCUGGCAGUACUGCCCGUGCUGUGCCGUGGGCAGGCAGUGCCUGCAGCGCCGCGCUCUGCCAGGCUCAGUGCCCGCUCCUGGCACCAACGUCUGGCACCACUCCUUGCAAGUGGGCACAAAUUCAUCCCAAAACACAAACACAGGGGGAGGCAGCAGUCAUCACUUGUGUGGGCGCUGAGAG